rnacentral:rRNA from 1 species
AUAAAUAUUGAAGUUUGCUCUAGCAUCAAGGCUGUGAAAUAUUUAUUCAAAUACAUCUACAAAGGUCAUGAUCGUGCCUCCAUUGUCAUCGAAGCCGCAGAAGAUGAUGCAGUUAUUAAUGAAAUUCGUGAGUAUAGAGGUGCAAGCUCUAAUUGUAGAGAAGUAAUAGAAGAGAUGUCUAUUAAUAUUGAUCCAGAGCAUCUGGACCUUUAUGCAACACUAAAUUGUGAGCAAAGACUUGCCUUUGAUGAGAUAAUGCAUCACGUCCUACAGAAGAAGAGUAAGGUAUUCUUUAUUGAUGGUCCAUGAGGUACAGGAAAGACGCAUCUCUAUAAAGCU